rnacentral:lncRNA from 1 species
GUCUAUAGUUAUCCAGUGACAAAGGGUCUUUUUUUUGUAAAUUAAAGAGAUUAUACCAAUCUUUUGUAUGGUUGUUAGUUCUCCGUCUUCAUAGCAUUUAUUAAAAACUUCAAAUGUAAAUUCUUUUAAAUUGCUCCAAAAAGUGCGAUAAAAUUCUACGCUUAGCCCAUCUAUUCCUGGAGAUUUAUUUAAUUUCAUGUUGAAUAUUGCUUUAGUCCAUUCUUCUAUGGUUAAGGGGCCCCCCAAGGAAUCACUUUCUUUUUCUGAUAGUUUGUGAUCAAUGUUGGUUUCAUUUAUAUAAUUUUUGAUAUCAUUUAAAUUUGGAGAAGUGCUUUUAUAUAAAUUUUCAUAGUAUGAUCUUUCUAUGUUUAGGAUUUCUGCGGAGUCUGUUACUAUUUUCCCUUGUUUAUUUUUUAGCGCUGUAAUGCUUUUUUUUGUUUGUCUUGAUUUUUCGAGGCCUAGGAAAUAUUUAGUAUUUUUCUCUCCUUCUUCUAAGCCAUUGUACUCUAGAUCUUAUUUUGAGCACCUUUAACUUUAUUUAAAUAGAGGUGUUCAAGUUCAUUUUCAAUGGUUUUAAUUUCUUUUUUUAUAAUUUGGCUUGCAUUUGUCUUCUCAUUUAGCUUUCUUAAUUUUAUUUCUAGAUUUUUUAUGUCAUUUUUAUUUUCAGAUGAUCUUUGUUUGCAGUAAGAAAGAGUUGCAGUUCUUACCUCUGAUUUAAACAUAUCCCAGAGUGUUUUUAAAUUUUUGGUGAGUAUUUGUUUUUUAUGGUUUUUAAUUAAGUUGUUUAUGAGGUCAAUAUAUUUUUGCUCUUUAAGUAUACUAUUGUUUAUUUGAAAGUAACCCCUGCCUCUUUCUUCUGAAUUUUGUCUAACUUGUAAUGAAAUGGCCUGGUGAUCAGUGUACGAGAUCAUUGCGGGUCGAAUAUCUACUUUCAUAACAUGCGGUCUUAUAUCAGGACUAAUCAAGAAGAAGUCAAUUCUGCUUGCUAUGUUUGUAUCAUUUUUCCUUCUCCAUGUGAAUUGACUAGUAUUUGGAUUAAGUUCUCUCCAUAUAUCUGUUAAAUUAUUUUUCUUUAUUAGUUUUUUUAAACUAUUUACAGGUUUGUAGUUUCUUGGGAGGAUAUUAGUUCUUCUAUCAUUAAUUGAGAGAGUUUCGUUCAUGUCACCUCCUAAUAUAAGGAUACCCAAACGAUUGUUUUCAAUUAUAUUUUGAACCUUUUUGAAAAAUUUGUUUCUGUUUUUGUGUUGAUUUGGAGCAUAUACAUUUAUUAGAGUAAAAAUAUUGUCAUUUAUUUCUAUGUUUAUCAAAAUUAUUCUACCUUCAUUAUCCUUUAUCUCGUUUAUUGUUUUACAUUUUAAAUUAUUUUUGACAAAGAUUGAAACACCUCUUGAUUGUGUGUUACCAUAACUAUGAAACAUUUUGCCAUCAAACUCAUUAUUUAUUGUUUGUUCAAUAUUUUCUAUAAAAUGUGACUCUUGAAUGAAAAGAAUGUUACAUUUUUGAUUUUUUGUCCAUAAUUGUAAUCUUUCUCUUUUG